CUCAGCUCCCUGGCAUUUCUUAUCUUCCCCAUUCUUCCCUUCCUACCUCCUCCUCUGUUGCCACACGCUAGAUCCCCCAUCCACAGCCGGCACUCUCUGGUGGCCGCCCCUCCCAUUCGUCACCAUUGUCGGCGGACACGUAGGCCCAUGCUCUUCCCCGCCCCGCCCCUUCUUCAUAUCCGAUCCCCGAAGUGCUCGAGGAGGCGCUCGAGCUCGGCAUGCUCGCCGGCGACACCGGGGCCCUCCCUCCUCCUGAUGCACUCUUUGUCGCCGCCAUGAGCGUCUCCACCUUAUCCCGCGCGCCAUGAAUCCUCCCUCCCCCCUGCUCGAGACGCCAUCAAGUCUGGAGCAGGAGCAGCUGCUGCUCGCGACCUCCGGUUCCUUCUUUCCAUGGAUGUGCUGCUGCUCGGGGCCCUCCCUAUGCUUCUCCUCGCUCGUACGGGUCCAGGGUUAGCUGCUCAGGAGCCAUGGUGUGUUCCGUGUGGCGCUGCCUUCGCGGCCGCAGCCGUUGUUGUGUCUCGUGUGUCGCGGCAGCCAAUGGGGUCGGGAAGGUCUGAGACUGGAGGUCCCUGCUCGCCAACUCACAGACGGUUGUUCUCCGACCAGUUAAAAAUGAAUUUUCUGAAGGAGAAGGAGGUGCCGAAAGGGGAUGGGAGCAACAAGAGUCUGAAUCUAAGAGAACUGAUAGCAUGUCCUGCCAUGAGGAAUUUGAAGCGGUCAGAAGACAUAAGAGCCGGGUCCUAAACUAUGUUAAGGCCAUGCUGAUGUGUAAGAGUUUGCGGGUGACAUCCUCCAUGGCAAUCAUAUUCCCUCCAACAUCCUUCAGGCCAUGGCGACCAUGUCAAAGAAGUCGAACCUGAAGAAGUGCAGGGAAGAAUUAUAGUUGCGUGUGGCUGGCUGGUUCAGGGGAAUUUCAGGGCGGGCGCGGCGGCGCGGGUGCCAGAGCAGGCUCCUAGGCACUGGCGAUCUGUCGGACGGAUAUUAGAAACGAAGGUGAGGUUGUAUCUUGUUAGGUGGGUCUUCAUUGGCCGUCGAAAUCAUACCUGGCCAAUCUGAUGGGGCUGCCGUCGAAAUCAUACCUGGCCAAUCUGAUGGGGCUGCCUACUGCUCCAGAACUCAGGCAGAUGAUGCAUAAUAAUCUUGUUGUAGCCUGGCCGAUCCGUGAAUAUUUGAUUGUAGGUGAAGGAGGAGCGGCCGCCCACUCGACGGUGCGGUGUAGGGCGGCGAGGGAGGCCGGCAGGGAGGCCUCAAUGCGGUGCAGGACGGCGAGGGAACCGUCCAGCGAGGCGACGAUGCGAUGCAGGGAUCCAGGCCGCCGUGCAGGGAGGCGACAGGACUGCUGAGCUUCGUCUGGGGCGGUGGCGAGGAAAGGCAGGGAGUGGGGCCAGGGACACGAUUAGGUUCGGUUUCCUUUUUUGCGAGUUGGUUAGAUGGUUAGAUUAGCGUGAUUUGAGGGGCUGCGGAUGCGGGACGGAGAGUUUCAUAUUUUCCUCUUGUGGAGUACGGUCAGUCUAUUGAAACUGCUAAGCGCAUACCAGAUCUUGAAUAAAUUAAUGAUGACUGU